GGUAUAUGAUGAAAAACAUAUUUAUCAGUUCUGCUGCUGAAGUAUCUGAUUAAACACUAUAACCAAAACAAAAUCUGAUAA